AACGAACGCUGGCGGCGUGUUUAAGACAUGCAAGUCGCACGGGGCAGGUUGAGUAGCAAUACGAGAUCUGUUCAGUGGCGCACGGGUGAGUAACACGUGAAUUACAUGCCCUUCAGUGGGGAAUAGCCCAGGGAAACUUGGAUUAAUACCCCAUGGUCUCGCAAGAGUAAAGGUGGCCGCAAGGCUAGUCGCUGAAGGAUUGGUUCGCGCCCUAUCAGCUUGUUGGUGAGGUAACGGCUCACCAAGGCUACGACGGGUACCUGGUCUGAGAGGACGAUCAGGCACACUGGAACUGAGACACGGUCCAGACACCUACGGGUGGCAGCAGUCGAGAAUAAUUCACAAUGGGGCAACCCUGAUGGUGCAACGCCG
rnacentral:rRNA from 1 species